GACAGAGGUGCCAAGCGUUUAGGCGGAAUCACUGGGCUUAAAGCGUGUGUAGGCGGGCGAUCAAAGUACCUUGUGAAAUCCCACGGCUCAACCGUGGAAACUGCUGGGUAUACUGGUUGUCUUGAGCCGGCUAGGGGCGAGCGGAACAGACGGUGGAGCGGUGAAAUGCGUAGAUAUCGUCUGGAACGCCGAAGGUGAAAAACAGCUCGC
rnacentral:rRNA from 1 species